rnacentral:rRNA from 1 species
UACGAAGGGGGCUAGCGUUGCUCGGAAUCACUGGGCGGAAAGGGUGCAUAGGCGGGUUUUUAAGUCAGGGGUGAAAUCCUGGAGCUCAACUCCAGAACUGCCUUUGAUACUGAAGAUCUUGAGUUCGGGAGAGGUGAGUGGAACUGCGAGUGUAGAGGUGAAAUUCGUAGAUAUUCGCAAGAACACCAGUGGCGAAGGCGGCUCACUGGCCCGAUACUGACGCUGAGGCACGAAAGCGUGGGGAGCAAACAGG